CGGCAACAGCUCAAAUUUGAAAUCUGGCCUUUGGCCCGAGUUGUAAUUUGUAGAGGAUGCUUUUGGUGCGGUGCCUUCCGAGUUCCCUGGAACGGGACGCCUUAGAGGGUGAGAAUCCCGUACG
rnacentral:rRNA from 1 species